AGAGAGAUUUAUUUCCACAAACAAUGAAAAAACAAUAUUAAAUAAUAUCGAUAAUUUUUAGAGAGUUAGACUAUAAUGAAAACAAUGAAAAACAGUAUAAAACAAUAUCGAUGAUUUUUAUAGAAGUAGUCCAAUUUACACAUUGUUUUGUGCUGGCCAGUAUGCAAGACCGUUGAAGGUCAUCAAGGCUCCUGACCAAUUUAACACUGUUAUUGAUUAAGAAGUCGGAAUUAAUUGUCACAAUAUAAAUAUAAAAAAGACGGAGAAUGAGUCGGCAGAUAUUUUAGUUCCACGAUUCAACACUAAAAGCACAUUGUGAUAGAGUUUAGAGGACAUGUGUAAAAUAUAUAUAAUACCAGUGCUACAUUGUGAUCUAGUACAUUACAGAUCGCCAUAACCGAGUCGGGCUCAGUAGGAAAUAUAAAUGAACAGAAUAGCACAGACACAUUUGCACCAUGUUAUAUAAAUAUUAAGGUAAGACAAUUAUUGGACACGUAGUGGACAUAACGAACAAUAUUAUGUUGUUGUUGUUUUUCGUUAACAUCAUAAUUAAAAAAAUCGCUUUACUCUUUGAAUACUACCCCAAAUGGCAUUGAAAUUUUCACUGGUUGAAUAUGGAAUUUUUUCCAGGAGGCUAUCACUUUUUUUUUUUCUUCUCUAUGACGUCAUUAAAAUUAUGUGGCUCUACGUGUCCAUAUAUUUGAGCAUAGCUCUCUUGUUAAACAGUAUAAAAAUCCUGAGGAAAUAUACACUGAUAUACAAUCGGAAGUUGAAGAUAUAAUGCAAACUGAAAGAAUAAUAGAUAUUUCAAUAUUCAAUCAUAUUAAUGACGGAUUAAAAAAAAAUGUUAACUAAUCUGAAUACAUUGUUAGCAAAAGCUUUUUCAUUUUCUUAGUAAAAAGAGAUAGAGACACAUUUUUUAUUUCAGAUGGGACACCACCCCAAACCUGCACGCCAUUAUAUUUUAAAGAUCGCUUCCCAACAUCAGUGGAAACCUGUGGUGUAAAAUAGGAUCUAUUUUUUUUGGAUCUAGUACCAUACUUAUGUACAUCUUUAAGAUGAGUAAAAUAGUCCUUGAAAGCAGGGGGGAGAAGCCCAUUUUCAUGCCGAUGCAUAAAUUUUGCAAUUUCUAAAGUAUGCAUCUCUGAUAGCUGUAAAAUUUCAUUUUGACAGAAAAGUCGGAUGUUUGUUAUACGACUCCUCUCUGAAAAUGAUAUACACCUAAUUAUUUUAUUUUGUAAGACUUGGAUUGGCUGUAAUGAAGACUUGGCGGCUGAUCCCCAACUAAGGAUUCCAUAUUGCAGUCGUGAAUGAAAUAAACUAUAAUAAACUACUUUCAGCGUUUUUAAAUUCGAAAUUGUUCACCACAGUCUCAAGUUCGGACAGAGAUGUAGCGGACUUCAAAAGAGAAGUAUCAUCUGCAAAAAGCGUGGAAUAGAAAGAAGAUGCAGCCGGGGAGUUGUAUCACGAAGGAAAAAAGACUCUUUCGUGCUUGUCCCAAGAGUGUGCAUAUGGUGUGCUGCAACUGGACUUAUU